GGAAUCUUCCACAAUGGGCGCAAGCCUGAUGGAGCAACACCGCGUGAGUGAAGAAGGGUUUCGGCUCGUAAAGCUCUGUUGUUAAAGAAGAACACGUAUGAGAGUAACUGUUCAUACGUUGACGGUAUUUAACCAGAAAGUCACGGCUAACUACGCGCCAG
rnacentral:rRNA from 1 species